CCCACACCUGUGUGUAGGAUCCCAAAGGAUCACCAUUAAAUUUGACACAGAUCUCUAGAAAAGUUAUCACAUGGGUGUGGGACUUGACUUUUCUAGAGAUCUGUGCCAAAUUUAAUGAUGAUCCUUUGGGGUUCUACACACAUGGGUGUGGG
rnacentral:pre_miRNA from 1 species